rnacentral:rRNA from 1 species
AACGAACGCUGGCGGCAUGCCUAACACAUGCAAGUCGAACGAAGCCUUCGGGCUUAGUGGCGCACGGGUGCGUAACGCGUGGGAAUCUGCCCUUAGGUACGGAAUAACUCAGGGAAACUUGUGCUAAUACCGUAUGAUGUCGAGAGACCAAAGAUUUAUCGCCUAGGGAUGAGCCCGCGUAGGAUUAGCUAGUUGGUGGGGUAAAGGCCUACCAAGGCGACGAUCCUUAGCUGGUCUGAGAGGAUGAUCAGCCACACUGGGACUGAGACACGGCCCAGACUCCUACGGGAGGCAGCAGUGGGGAAUAUUGGACAAUGGGGGCAACCCUGAUCCAGCCAUGCCGCGUGAGUGAUGAAGGCCUCGGGUUGUAAAGCUCUUUUGGUCGGGGGACGAUGAUGACGGUACCCGCAGAAUAAGCCCGGCUAACUUCGUGCCAGCAGCCGCGGUAAU